CCAUAUUUAAAUUUUUUUAAUCACUUUUAGUAUUUAAAUAAUAUUUAAGUUUAUUCAGCCUUUCUUUCACCUAAAACCACCUUUGAAACUCCAGCGGAACACCCCGAACUUAAGCUCUAAAUCAGCCCCAAAAGUGACCCUUUAACACCCCAAAAAACGCUGCCAGAAAAUCAGUUGAAAUACCUCCUCAAGACAACCCCAAUCACCUCAAACCGACGUGAAAAUCAGCUCAGCUCCAAACAACCAGCCAAAACCUAAAAUUUCAGCGUCCAACCACUAUCCAAACCCAAUCGAAAUAGUAAAGUUUUCAGUCGAGGUUGAUGGAAAGUUUCGAUGCUUCGUUCGUGGUUUGGGUGAACGGGUAUGUUUGAUUCAACUUCAUCAUUGUGUUCUUCUAGUAAGUCAGUUGGAAGAGCUUUCAUAAUUUGAAAAGUUAGUUCUUCUUCUCCUUUAUGUUCUACUAUUCUUACAUUUUUCCCUUCCUAUUUGUAUGUUUUGUUUGUUUUGGUUGAAAGUAUGUUAGCUAUACUAAUUUUCUUUUCAUUAUGUGUUGCCUUUAUUCAAUAAAAUUCUAAUGUUUAAAAACUUUUCAUGUGUUUAGAUCCAAUUUAAUUCUUAAAGAAUAAGUCACUUUUCAUAGUUGAGAAUAGAGAGGCAGAGGGAUUCGGGAGCUAUAGGGAAUUUUGGGGUCCACAUUAGUGAAUAAACAAAUUGGGCCAUUAAAUUGAAAUAGUGUCAAGUCGAUUCCAUUGAAUAAAUAUUCACAUGCUGGCCCAACUGUAUCUAAUAAAUAAAACUCCAUCAACCCCUAACCAAAUACAAAGCAUAUGCGUAGAAUGCUUUAGGCGUGCUUAAUUUAUUAUUGUGAUUGUGUAUACAUUCGCGUGACA
rnacentral:lncRNA from 1 species